AUUGAACGCUGGCGGCAGGCCUAACACAUGCAAGUCGAACGGUAACAGGAAGCAGCUUGCUGCUUUGCUGACGAGUGGCGGACGGGUGGGUAAUGUCUGGGAAACUGCCUGAUGGAGGGGGAUAACUACUGGAAACGGUAGCUAAUACCGCAUAACGUCGCAAGACCAAAGAGGGGGACCUUAGGGCCUCUUGCCAUCGGAUGUGCCCAGAUGGGAUUAGCUAGUAGGUGGGGUAACGGCUCACCUAGGCGACGAUCCCUAGCUGGUCUGAGAGGAUGACCAGCCACACUGGAACUGAGACACGGUCCAGACUCCUACGGGAGGCAGCAGUGGGGAAUAUUGCACAAUGGGCGCAAGCCUGAUGCAGCCAUGCCGCGUGUAUGAAGAAGGCCUUCGGGUUGUAAAGUACUUUCAGCGGGGAGGAAGGGAGUAAAGUUAAUACCUUUGCUCAUUGACGUUACCCGCAGAAGAAGCACCGGCUAACUCCGUG
rnacentral:rRNA from 1 species